rnacentral:misc_RNA from 1 species
CACCCCCCAAGCAUGGCUUGAUGUUGGGCGCUGCCUCCGCGGCACGCCCCGAACACGCAGGCGCCCUCACCGGCCCUCGAGCGUCUCACGGAUGAUAUCCCCUCGCUCGGGCGGUCCGGUGGCGGUCGCCUUGACCCACCGAUUUAUCAC